rnacentral:rRNA from 1 species
AUUGAACGCUGGCGGCAUGCUUUACACAUGCAAGUCGAACGGUAACAGGCCUUCGGGUGCUGACGAGUGGCGAACGGGUGAGUAAUGCAUCGGAACGUACCCAGAGGUGGGGGAUAACGCAGCGAAAGCUGUGCUAAUACCGCAUGUGAUCUGAGGAUGAAAGCGGGGGACCGAGCAGCAAUGUUUGGCCUCGCGCCUUUGUAGCGGCCGAUGUCGGAUUAGCUAGUUGGUGGGGUAAAGGCCUACCAAGGCGACGAUCCGUAGCUGGUCUGAGAGGACGACCAGCCACACUGGGACUGAGACACGGCCCAGACUCCUACGGGAGGCAGCAGUGGGGAAUUUUGGACAAUGGGCGCAAGCCUGAUCCAGCAAUGCCGCGUGCGGGAAGAAGGCCUUCGGGUUGUAAACCGCUUUUGGCAGGAACGAAACGGUGUCCGCUAAUACCGGGCGCUAAUGACGGUACCUGAAGAAUAAGCACCGGCUAACUACGUG